rnacentral:rRNA from 1 species
GAUGAACGCUGGCGGCGUGCCUAAUACAUGCAAGUCGAGCGAACAGACGAGAGUGCUUGCACUCUCUGACGUUAGCGGCGGACGGGUGAGUAACACGUGGGUAACCUACCUAUAAGACUGGGAUAACUUCGGGAAACCGGAGCUAAUACCGGAUAAUAUUUAGCUUCGCAUGAAGCAAUAGUGAAAGACGGUUCUGCUGUCACUUAUAGAUGGACCCGCGGUGUAUUAACUAGUUGGUGAGGUAACGGCUCACCAAGGCAACGAUACAUAGCCGACCUGAGAGGGUGAUCGGCCACACUGGGACUGAGACACGGACCAGACUCCUACGGGAGGCAGCAGUAGGGAAUCUUCCGCAGUGGACGAAAGUCUGACGGAGCAAUGCCGCGUGAGUGAAGAAGGUUUUCGGAUCGUAAAACUCUGUUGUAAGGGAAGAACAAGUACGUUAGUAACUGAACGUACCUUGACGGUACCUUACCAGAAAGCCACGGCUAACUACGUG